rnacentral:lncRNA from 1 species
CAUAAAUGCAGAGGACCCCAGCUCACAGUUUGGUGCCACACCGAAAACACAGAUUCUCCACCCAGCUUCCCAGCUACCAGCCAGAUGACCUUGUUCUGGAAUCUCUCAGAGCUGCAAUUUCCUCCUCGACCUAGUGUGGACUCCGAUGUAAAGUGCCUGCUAAUUCUUAAAUUAUGAGUUACCGUACUUUUAUUUUCAGGAUUAAGUAAAGUUGGGCCUUCGCCCUUUCGGAAUUUGAAAAAUCCCAGACACAACCAGUGCUACGGGAUCCAAGUUAACCCCAGGUGAGCACAUAGAUGUAUGUCUUCAAUUCCACGUCCCUGAAGAAACUCCGGAGAGAGGGAAGAAGGAAGGAGGAGAAAAAAAAAGCUUCCUGUCACAUUGUGUUUUCCUUGCUGGGCUACUGUUGCGUUCCAGUAGGAGUCUUUAUGAACACUUGGCCUGAGCAAUUUAAGAAGGAUUCCUCAGGGCUUUGAAAAAGCCACAAACGAUCCUCACAGUGACACCACCCAGCAAGCUGGCAGACAUUGCUGACACGCACCCGGCCCGAAGCAAUGGCACGUGUCCAUGCCUUGACAACUGACGCGCAGCCGUACACCUAGUGAGAGGGAGAACAACGUCUACAAAGCAACCCCCACCGCCACCAUAAGCCACUCCAGCAGAGGUGGGACUUUAGAUUAAAUACUACCCCGUGGACUGCUAAAUAACAUAACCGGAUUUGAUUCAAAAUGUAAAGUAUGCUGGAGAGCGGUACUUCUCUACUCUCUCCUCAAGGAUCUAAAUGUAGCAAGACGGGUGUUACCAACAAAACAGUAAGUGCUCUCACUGUGCCAAUUUACUUACCAGUAUACUACACUGUGCAUACAGACAUACCUACAUGGAUCAGAGGGUCUCGCUGAUACUUAUGGUUCGGUGUCAUCUGUGGCCCGUUUCAAACUAUGCUGCAGAGCUAUCCUGCCAGAAUCGGAAAAUAUGGCCCAGAUAUGUGUCUUUUUAAAAGGCUUGACAAGGUUGGUUAGCACAGGGGAAAGAGAAAUUCUUGCAUAUCCCUGAUGAGAAUAAAAAUUAGUUCAGCCACUGUGGAGAGUAAUCU